GGGCCGUUAGCUCAGUCGGUAGAGCAGCAGGCUUUUAACUUGUUGGUCGAGCGUUCGAAUCGCUCACGGCCCACCA
rnacentral:tRNA from 2 species